GAAGAGUGGAAAUGUAAACGGCAAACUCAAGAUUAGUCAUAAGCACUUUGAAGAAGCUUUCAAGAAAGUAAAACCAUCUGUAUCAAAAAAGGCUCAACAUUUCUCAUUAUGAUUAUUGAUUGAAAACUCUUAAGUCAAAGUCCAAAACAGUUGUAUGAAAUGAGUGGCUGUGUUUCAGUGCCACCAGUCUUGGUCUAUAUGUCCUAAGGUAAUUGACUGUCUUACUACUUUAAACUAAAAUAAAUAACCAGUUUAAGGGGUGGGGGGGGGAUCUUUUUAGGCACAUGGCUUUUUCAGCUAGAGUAAAGUUAAGAGUCUGCAGAACCUGGACUAAGUUUUUUUGAUUUUUGCUUUGUUUGUUUGUUUUGCCAUAUGUGGAGAAGCAAUUUUCUGCCUUGUUUUCUCAGGCAUUAUUCUAGACCAGCAAAAAUGUUUUUUAUUUUACUGAACAUCUUUGAAUGGAACAGUCUUAUUAAUUAAA